rnacentral:rRNA from 1 species
UACAGAGGUCCCAAGCGUUGUUCGGAUUCACUGGGCGUAAAGGGUGCGUAGGUGGCUGGGUAAGUCUGAUGUGAAAUCUCCGAGCUUAACUCGGAAAUGGCAUUGGAUACUAUCCGGCUAGAGGAUUGGAGGGGGGACUGGAAUACUUGGUGUAGCAGUGAAAUGCGUAGAUAUCAAGUGGAACACCAGUGGCGAAGGCGAGUCCCUGGACAAUACCUGACACUGAGGCACGAAAGCUAGGGGAGCAAACAGG